AGAAGAUUAGUUUAAAGAAAACAUUUACUUGUCAAGUAUAAAAAGAAUUAUAUUUCAUCUUCUU
rnacentral:tRNA from 1 species